rnacentral:misc_RNA from 3 species
AACGCACCUUGCGCCCUUUGGCAUUCCGAAGGGCACGCCUGUUUGAGUGUCGUGAACUCCUCCACCCUCCACCUUUUUCGGAAGGUGUCGGGCUGGGAUUUGGGAGCUUGCGGGUCCCUGGCCGAUCCGCUCUCCUUGAAUACAUUAGCGAAGCCCUUGCGGCCUUGGUGUGAUAGUCAUCUACGCCUCGGCUUAGCGAACAUAGGGGACUUGCUUCCAACCGUCUCGAAAGGGACAACUACUACGAACUUGACCUCAAAUCAGGCGGGACUACCCGCUGAACUUAA